GCUGGGAUAGCUCAGUAGGUAGAGGGUGAGAUUCUUAAUUCAGGGUUAUGGGUUUGAGCCCCAUGCCAGGCA